rnacentral:rRNA from 1 species
CGGGGUGCAGCAGGCGCGAAAACUUUACAAUGCCGGCAACGGCGAUAAGGGGACCUCGAGUGCCAGGUUACAAAUCUGGCUGUCGUGAUGCCUAAAAAGCAUUGCAUAGCAAGGGCCGGGCAAGACCGGUGCCAGCCGCCGCGGUAACACCGGCGGCUCGAGUGGUAACCGUUAUUAUUGGGUCUAAAGGGUCUGUAGCCGGCCGGAUAAGUCUCUUGGGAAAUCUGGCAGCUUAACUGUCAGGCUUUCAGGAGAUACUGUCUGGCUCGAGGCCGGGAGAGGUGAGAGGUACUCCAGGGGUAGGGGUGAAAUCUUGUAAUCCUUGAAGGACCACCAGUGGCGAAGGCGUCUCACCAGAACGGACCUGACGGCAAGGGACGAAAGCCAGGGGCACGAACCGGAUUAGAUACCCGGGUAGUCCUAGCCGUAAACGAUACUCGCUAGGUGUCGGCCACGGUGCGACCGUGGUCGGUGCCGUAGGGAAGCCGUGAAGCGAGCCACCUGGGAAGUACGGCCGCAAGGCUGAAACUUAAAGGAAUUGGCGGGGGAGCACAAGGGCGAUUCGCGG